rnacentral:lncRNA from 1 species
GUGUGUGUGUGUGGAAUGUUUAGAAGAACACAAGGGGAGUCAAACCCUAGUUAUUAAAGAUCUUCAAAUUGAAGGGUGAAUCGAAGGUCAAACCUAUAAAUGAACAUGAAUUAAUGAUCACCUACACAAGGGGAUCAUGAGGGAUCAUGUCAAGAUGGAUGGAAGCAUGGAAGGCUAAAGGGUCAAAAGGAAGCAAGGAAACGGAUACGAAUACAAACGUUUAAGAAACAGGAUAUGAGCAGCUCAUAAUAGUAUGAAGAAAGUUGCACCAGCACUUGCAGCCAAACAUGAUAUUGCAGUGGCUGGAACAAAUAUCAGGGAGCCUGAGAGGAAGUAUAUCAUCAGGAGCCAAUUUCUAGCCUUGGUUGCUGUUAGAACCCCCCCAUCUACCUAAGCGAAUCAAGAAAGAGAGUACUUCAGAUGGGUCGUGAAGCGAGUGGAAAGCCAUUGUCUUGGUGGGUUUGGAAGAAACAACAAUCGGGUAUCCUUCGCCCCUUUCCCUUAAAACCUGCACAUGUGACAUGACUAGUUAGUUAUUUGAAACCUACAUAAUAAUAUAUCGGUUUAUUAUAAUGAAGAUGUUACCCUAAAAGCAUCCUCAUCGGUUGUAUCAUCUCCAAUAUAUAUUGGUAGGAGGGUUUUGGAGUUAUCAAAGCCUAAGUUAUUGAUUAAAUACUCAAGGGCGUGACCUUUGUUCCACUCGAUGGAAGGUCGAAUUUCCAACACCUUUUUGCCACUCGUCAAGUGAAAUUCUGGAUAAUUUACUAACAUCGACUUGACUUCCUGUUCUAGUCUCUCAUAAUCCUCGUCGUCUUUAACGUGUCGAUAAUGAACAGAAAGGCAGAACAUGUUAUCCUCAAUCACCACUCCUCGUACCUGAUCAGACAUGAAGGCACGAUCAGGAUCACAGACGAUGGGUGAC